rnacentral:rRNA from 1 species
CAGUAGCCGCGGUAAUACGUAGGUGGCGAGCGUUGUCCGGAAUUAUUGGGCGUAAAGGGAGCGCAGGCGGACAUAUAAGUCCAUCUUAAAAGUGCGGGGCUCAACCCCGUGAGGGGAUGGAAACUGUAUGCCUUGAGUGCAGGAGAGGAAAGCGGAAUUCCCAGUGUAGCGGUGAAAUGCGUAGAUAUUGGGAGGAACACCAGUGGCGAAGGCGGCUUUCUGGACUGUAACUGACGCUGAGGCUCGAAAGCCAGGGGAGCGAACGGGAUUAGAGACCCCCGUAGUCCCUGUCUCUUAUACA